rnacentral:rRNA from 1 species
UGGAGAGUUUGAUCCUGGCUCAGGACGAACGCUGGCGGCGUGCUUAACACAUGCAAGUCGAACGAAGAGCGAUGGAAGCUUGCUUCUAUCAAUCUUAGUGGCGAACGGGUGAGUAACGCGUAAUCAACCUGCCCUUCAGAGGGGGACAACAGUUGGAAACGACUGCUAAUACCGCAUACGAUCCAAUCUCGGCAUCGAGGAUGGAUGAAAGGUGGCCUCUAUUUAUAAGCUAUCACUGAAGGAGGGGAUUGCGUCUGAUUAGCUAGUUGGAGGGGUAACGGCCCACCAAGGCGAUGAUCAGUAGCCGGUCUGAGAGGAUGAACGGCCACAUUGGGACUGAGACACGGCCUAGACUCCUACGGGAGGCAGCAGUGGGGAAUCUUCCGCAAUGGACGAAAGUCUGACGGAGCAACGCCGCGUGAGUGAUGACGGCCUUCGGGUUGUAAAGCUCUGUUAAUCGGGACGAAAGGCCUUCUUGCGAAUAGUUAGAAGGAUUGACGGUACCGGAAUAGAAAGCCACGGCUAACUACGUGCCAGCAGCCGCGGUAAUACGUAGGUGGCAAGCGUUGUCCGGAAUUAUUGGGCGUAAAGCGCGCGCAGGCGGAUUGGUCAGUCUGUCUUAAAAGUUCGGGGCUUAACCCCGUGAUGGGAUGGAAACUGCCAAUCUAGAGUAUCGGAGAGGAAAGUGGAAUUCCUAGUGUAGCGGUGAAAUGCGUAGAUAUUAGGAAGAACACCAGUGGCGAAGGCGACUU